GUGUAUUUGCUGACAGCAUUGAACCAAAAGACAAGGACAAUAUAAUCAGGAGAGAAGGAGAGUCUGUGACACUGAGCUGCACAUAUGAUACAAGCAGUAGUUAUGCUAUGCUUUACUGGUACAGACAAUAUCCAAACAGAGAACCUCAAUAUAUACUAUUUAAAGGUGCUCGAUCACAGAGCAGGCAGAAAGAUAUACCAGAUGGGUUUCAAUCAACUACAUCCCAGACAUCCACUGAACUCACUAUUAACAGUUUAACUCUGAAGGAUUCAGCUCUCUAUUAUUGUGCUCUAAGAGUAGUAGCCCAGUGA